rnacentral:rRNA from 1 species
UAGGGAAUCUUCGGCAAUGGACGAAAGUCUGACCGAGCAACGCCGCGUGAGUGAAGAAGGUUUUCGGAUCGUAAAACUCUGUUGUUAGAGAAGAACAAGGAUGAGAAGAGAAUGUUCAUCCCUUGACGGUAUCUAACCAGAAAGCCACGGCUAACUACGUGCCAGCAGCCGCGGUAAUACGUAGGUGGCAAGCGUUGUCCGGAUUUAUUGGGCGUAAAGCGAGCGCAGGCGGUUUCUUAAGUCUGAUGUGAAAGCCCCCGGCUCAACCGGGGAGGGUCAUUGGAAACUGGGAGACUUGAGUGCAGAAGAGGAGAGUGGAAUUCCAUGUGUAGCGGUGAAAUGCGUAGAUAUAUGGAGGAACACCAGUGGCGAAGGCGACUCUCUGGUCUGUAAUUGACGCUGAGGCUCGAAAGCGUGGGGAGCAAACAGG